rnacentral:tRNA from 1 species
GCCGGAGUGGCGGAAUUGGCAGACGCACAGGACUUAAAAUCCUGCGGUCUUUGUAAGACCGUAUCGGUUCGACUCCGAUCUCCGGCA